rnacentral:lncRNA from 1 species
AGGGGUGUGCUUAUUUAUAGAAGUAGUUGGGGUCGUAAAUUCCUCGUAAAUUAACGACGAAAUAACAAAGCCCGUGUUUUCAAUUUCGUCGUAAAAUCGUCGUAAUAUUACGAGGAAAUAGCAAGUCCCGUGUUUUCCUUUACGACGAAUUAGUAAGGCCCGUGUUUCCAGUUUCGUCGUAAAAUCGUCAUAAAAUUACGAGGAAAUAACAAGGCCCGUGUUUUCCUUUACGACGAAUUAGUAAGGCCCGUGUUUCCAGUUUCGUCGUAAAAUCGUCAUAAAAUUACGAGGAAAUAACAAGGCCCGUGUUUUCCUUUACGACGAUUUUAGGAGGAAGGUCUGCAAAUCCCUAUCACCCGAAU